rnacentral:piRNA from 1 species
UGCAGGAUAAAGACAAAACCGCAGCAAAGGUA